CUCAGGGAAUCUAAGUCAACAGCCGGCCAAUACAUUAUGCUACUGUUGAACAACUAAAACCCUCGACCAAGUACUGGUUCAACCAUGUCAAUAUUGCAAGUAGACCCUCGGACUCUCAUUCCGGAAUCCGUGUCAUUGCUGGUGAUCACGACUAGGGAGUUUAUUGAAACAAUAUUCUAAGUCAAUAUGGGAAGAGUGUGAUUUGCAUACGAAAUACCUUUACCAUUAGUACUACUUUAUGCCACAUCAGGAUCUGGACUUCAAUGGAGAAACUUUUCUAACAGCUGCAGAAGUAAAAAUUGUCAAAUGAAAUGGAGCAGCGUAUGACUGAAAGAUAGUCUUAUACCAGAAGUGUACCAAAGCCAACUCAAGCUCAGAAGCUCAUGCAAGGAAUUUAGACAAACUUAUCAAACGGAUCUGCGGGUCAAUUGGUUUUCUUAUUGUAACGCAAGCAUAAAAAAACUUGCCACAUAGUUUCAGUUCUUAGCCGAAUAUAAACCCUGAUACGAGCCUAAUGAUAUAAAUUCCGAAUUCUUCGUAGACCAAAUAGAGUUCGUUUAAAUUUUUGUGUUUAAUUUUAUUAAAUUUUUUUUACAUCUUAUAAAUUAACAAGUACGCAAAUUUCAAUUUUUUUAGUUUGAAAUGUUGUGAUUUCAAAAAUCUUUUUUCGAUUUUUUCACUGAAACAAGCGUACGCCAUUUCACAUACAAAUGAGUAAAUACAUACAUAAA